GAUGAAGAACGUAGCGAAAUGCGAUAAGUAAUGUGAAUUGCAGAAUUCAGUGAAUCAUCGAAUCUUUGAACGCACAUUGCGCCCGCUGGUAUUCCGGCGGGCAUGCCUGUUCGAGCGUCAUUUCAACCCUCAAGCUCUCCGGAGUUUGGUGUUGGGGCGCCUGGGGCUUUUCGACCUCAGGGCCCUCAAGUCCAUCGGCGGGACCGCCAGGACACUGAGCGCAGUAGUAUUAUUUCGCUCGGUAGGAUCUUCCACGGCGGGUCGAUCUGGCCGCUAAACCCCCCAAUUCUCACCAAAGGUUGACCUCGGAUCAGGUAGGAAUACCCGCUGAACUUAAGCAUAUCAAUAAGCGAGGA
rnacentral:misc_RNA from 1 species